AACGAACGCUGGCGGCAGGCCUAACACAUGCAAGUCGAGCGGACCUUUCGGGGUCAGCGGCGGACGGGUGAGUAACGCGUGGGAAUAUGCCCUUCUCUACGGAAUAGUCCUGGGAAACUGGGGGUAAUACCGUAUACGCCCUUUGGGGGAAAGAUUUAUCGGGGAAGGAUUAGCCCGCGUUGGAUUAGGUAGUUGGUGGGGUAAUGGCCUACCAAGCCGACGAUCCAUAGCUGGUUUGGGAGGAUGAUCAGCCACACUGGGACUGAGACACGGCCCAGACUCCUACGGGAGGCAGCAGUGGGGAAUCUUAGACAAUGGGGGCAACCCUGAUCUAGCCAUGCCGCGUGAGUGAUGAAGGCCUUAGGGUUGUAAAGCUCUUUCAGCUGGGAAGAUAAUGACGGUACCAGAAGAAGAAGCCCCGGCUAACUCCGUG
rnacentral:rRNA from 1 species